CCUACGGGAGGCAGCAGUGGGGAAUUUUGGACAAUGGGCGCAAGCCUGAUCCAGCCAUGCCGCGUGCAGGAUGAAGGUCUUCGGGUUGUAAACUGCUUUUGUACGGAACGAAAAGACUCUGGUUAAUACCUGGGGUCCAUGACGGUACCGUAAGAAUAAGCACCGGCUAACUACGUGCCAGCAGCCGCGGUAAUACGUAGGGUGCGAGCGUUAAUCGGAAUUACUGGGCGUAAAGCGUGCGCAGGCGGUUAUAUAAGACAGAUGUGAAAUCCCCGGGCUCAACCUGGGAACUGCAUUUGUGACUGUAUAGCUAGAGUACGGCAGAGGGGGAUGGAAUUCCGCGUGUAGCAGUGAAAUGCGUAGAUAUGCGGAGGAACACCGAUGGCGAAGGCAAUCCCCUGGGCCUGUACUGACGCUCAUGCACGAAAGCGUGGGGAGCAAACAGGAUUAGAUACCCUGGUAGUCCACGCCCUAAACGAUGUCAACUGGUUGUUGGGUCUUCACUGACUCAGUAACGAAGCUAACGCGUGAAGUUGACCGCCUGGGGAGUACGGCCGCAAGGUUGAAACGUCAAAUGAAUUGACGG
rnacentral:rRNA from 1 species